AAAUCAACUGGGUCAUUUAGGCCCAGUCCCCAAACAAAGUUCUUUCCCUAAUCAUAUUUACGAAUGGAAGUUGAAAGUUGAAGCCACUCAUUUAUUUCACAUAAGUACCGGCUCAACAGCAGGGGCGCCCAACCAGCAGCUUCUGCCAACAGUUCGCAGAGGGCAGCCCUGUUUUACUACAGGGACAUGUGGAACCCUAGCGCUUCUGAGCAGUCAAACUCUCGGCAGCAGCAGCUCGAAAGUGCAAGGAAUGGUGGAGAUGGCUCUUCAGUUGGUGGCUCUAGCAGAACCAGAAUUGAAAAAAUCAAAGAGUUAGGUUAGAUGAUGUUUAGUUAUGCAUCUGCUGAGAUUUUGCAUAUGUGUAUAUGAGGGCAUGUAUAGCAAAAGAUUAGGAUUCAGGAAAUAAUCAGAACCUGAAAGUUGUUUAUAAUUUCUUCUUCUUUCUUUUUUGGGUCUCAAAAGUUGUUUAAUUUCAUGUUGAA